GUACUUGGUGUUACUGCGAAGGGGGGACGGAGAAGGCUAUGUUAGCCGGGCGACGGUUGUCCCGGUUUAAGCAUGUAGGCUGGUUAUCCAGGCAAAUCCGGAUAACCAAGGCUGAGGUGUGAUGACGAGGCACUACGGUGCUGAAGUAACAAAUGCCCUGCUUCCAGGAAAAGCCUCUAAGCAUCAGGUAACAUCAAAUCGUACCCCAAAC
rnacentral:rRNA from 1 species